AUUGAACGCUGGCGGCAGGCCUAACACAUGCAAGUCGAACGAGGGGCGGACGGGGGAGUAAUGUCUGGGAAACUGCCUGAAGGAGGGGGAUAACUAGUGGAAACGGUAGCUAAUACCGCAUACCAUCGGAUGGGACCAGAUGGGAUUAGCUAGUAGGUGGGGUAAAAGCUCACCUAGGCGACGAUCCCUAGCUGGUCUGAGAGGAUGACCAGCCACACUGGAACGGAGCCACGGUCCAGACUCCUACGGGAGGCAGCAGUGGGGAAUCUUGCACAAUGGGCGCAAGCCUGAUGCAGCCAUGCCGCGUGUAUGAAGAAGGCCUUCGGGUUUUAAAGUACUUUCAGCGGGGAGGCGUUACCCGCAGAAGAAGCACCGGCUAACUCCGUGCCAGCCGCCGCGGUAAUAC
rnacentral:rRNA from 1 species